rnacentral:rRNA from 1 species
GAUUAAGUUAUUAAGGGCGCACGGUGGAUGCCUUGGCACUAGAAGCCGAUGAAGGACGUUACUAACGACGAUAUGCUUUGGGGAGCUGUAAGUAAGCUUUGAUCCAGAGAUUUCCGAAUGGGGAAACCCAGCAUGAGUUAUGUCAUGUUAUCGAUAUGUGAAUACAUAGCAUAUCAGAAGGCACACCCGGAGAACUGAAACAUCUUAGUACCCGGAGGAAGAGAAAGAAAAUUCGAUUCCCUUAGUAGCGGCGAGCGAAACGGGAAGAGCCCAAACCAACAAGCUUGCUUGUUGGGGUUGUAGGACACUCUAUACGGAGUUACAAAGGACGACAUUAGACGAAUCAUCUGGAAAGAUGAAUCAAAGAAGGUAAUAAUCCUGUAGUCGAAAAUGUUGUCUCUCUUGAGUGGAUCCUGAGUACGACGGAGCACGUGAAAUUCCGUCGGAAUCUGGGAGGACCAUCUCCUAAGGCUAAAUACUCUCUAGUGACCGAUAGUGAACCAGUACCGUGAGGGAAAGGUGAAAAGCACCCCGGAAGGGGAGUGAAAUAGAACCUGAAACCGUGUGCUUACAAGUAGUCAGAGCCCGUUAAUGGGUGAUGGCGUGCCUUUUGUAGAAUGAACCGGCGAGUUACGAUUUGAUGCAAGGUUAAGCAGUAAAUGUGGAGCCGUAGCGAAAGCGAGUCUGAAUAGGGCGUUUAGUAUUUGGUCGUAGACCCGAAACCAGGUGAUCUACCCUUGGUCAGGUUGAAGUUCAGGUAACACUAAAUGGAGGACCGAACCGACUUACGUUGAAAAGUGAGCGGAUGAACUGAGGGUAGCGGAGAAAUUCCAAUCGAACCUGGAGAUAGCUGGUUCUCUCCGAAAUAGCUUUAGGGCUAGCCUCAAGUGAUGAUUAUUGGAGGUAGAGCACUGUUUGGACGAGGGGCCCCUCUCGGGUUACCGAAUUCAGACAAACUCCGAAUGCCAAUUAAUUUAACUUGGGAGUCAGAACAUGGGUGAUAAGGUCCGUGUUCGAAAGGGAAACAGCCCAGACCACCAGCUAAGGUCCCAAAAUAUAUGUUAAGUGGAAAAGGAUGUGGCGUUGCCCAGACAACUAGGAUGUUGGCUUAGAAGCAGCCAUCAUUUAAAGAGUGCGUAAUAGCUCACUAGUCGAGUGACACUGCGCCGAAAAUGUACCGGGGCUAAACAUAUUACCGAAGCUGUGGAUUGUCCUUUGGACAAUGGUAGGAGAGCGUUCUAAGGGCGUUGAAGCAUGAUCGUAAGGACAUGUGGAGCGCUUAGAAGUGAGAAUGCCGGUGUGAGUAGCGAAAGACGGGUGAGAAUCCCGUCCACCGAUUGACUAAGGUUUCCAGAGGAAGGCUCGUCCGCUCUGGGUUAGUCGGGUCCUAAGCUGAGGCCGACAGGCGUAGGCGAUGGAUAACAGGUUGAUAUUCCUGUACCACCUAUAAUCGUUUUAAUCGAUGGGGGGACGCAGUAGGAUAGGCGAAGCGUGCGAUUGGAUUGCACGUCUAAGCAGUAAGGCUGAGUAUUAGGCAAAUCCGGUACUCAUUAAGGCUGAGCUGUGAUGGGGAGAAGACAUUGUGUCUUCGAGUCGUUGAUUUCACACUGCCGAGAAAAGCCUCUAGAUAGAAAAUAGGUGCCCGUACCGCAAACCGACACAGGUAGUCAAGAUGAGAAUUCUAAGGUGAGCGAGCGAACUCUCGUUAAGGAACUCGGCAAAAUGACCCCGUAACUUCGGGAGAAGGGGUGCUCUUUAGGGUUAACGCCCAGAAGAGCCGCAGUGAAUAGGCCCAAGCGACUGUUUAUCAAAAACACAGGUCUCUGCUAAACCGUAAGGUGAUGUAUAGGGGCUGACGCCUGCCCGGUGCUGGAAGGUUAAGAGGAGUGGUUAGCUUCUGCGAAGCUACGAAUCGAAGCCCCAGUAAACGGCGGCCGUAACUAUAACGGUCCUAAGGUAGCGAAAUUCCUUGUCGGGUAAGUUCCGACCCGCACGAAAGGCGUAACGAUUUGGGCACUGUCUCAACGAGAGACUCGGUGAAAUCAUAGUACCUGUGAAGAUGCAGGUUACCCGCGACAGGACGGAAAGACCCCGUGGAGCUUUACUGUAGCCUGAUAUUGAAAUUCGGCACAGCUUGUACAGGAUAGGUAGGAGCCUUUGAAACGUGAGCGCUAGCUUACGUGGAGGCGCUGGUGGGAUACUACCCUAGCUGUGUUGGCUUUCUAACCCGCACCACUUAUCGUGGUGGGAGACAGUGUCAGGCGGGCAGUUUGACUGGGGCGGUCGCCUCCUAAAAGGUAACGGAGGCGCUCAAAGGUUCCCUCAGAAUGGUUGGAAAUCAUUCAUAGAGUGUAAAGGCAUAAGGGAGCUUGACUGCGAGACCUACAAGUCGAGCAGGGUCGAAAGACGGACUUAGUGAUCCGGUGGUUCCGCAUGGAAGGGCCAUCGCUCAACGGAUAAAAGCUACCCCGGGGAUAACAGGCUUAUCUCCCCCAAGAGUUCACAUCGACGGGGAGGUUUGGCACCUCGAUGUCGGCUCAUCGCAUCCUGGGGCUGUAGUCGGUCCCAAGGGUUGGGCUGUUCGCCCAUUAAAGCGGUACGCGAGCUGGGUUCAGAACGUCGUGAGACAGUUCGGUCCCUAUCCGUCGUGGGCGUAGGAAAUUUGAGAGGAGCUGUCCUUAGUACGAGAGGACCGGGAUGGACAUACCUCUGGUGUACCAGUUGUCGUGCCAACGGCAUAGCUGGGUAGCUAUGUGUGGACGGGAUAAGUGCUGAAAGCAUCUAAGCAUGAAGCCCCCCUCAAGAUGAGAUUUCCCAACUUCGGUUAUAAGAUCCCUCAAAGAUGAUGAGGUUAAUAGGUUCGAGGUGGAAGCAUGGUGACAUGUGGAGCUGACGAAUACUAAUCGAUCGAAGACUUAAUCAA